CAGAGUGAACAGAGGCUGGCACAGAGGCUCAUGUCAGUCGGUCAGUCAUGGGUCUUUCUGGGUUACAGAUAAGGACAUGGAAACUGUUUGUCUGCCUGAGUUGGAUGUGUGUGGUUGGGACGAUGGCAAAGCCACAGUACAUGGUGGCUGUUCCUGCGGUUCUUGAAGCUGGAGCUGAAACCACAUUCUGUGCGAGUCUCCUGCAGCCCAACGAGACUCUGGUCAUGACCGUCACUCUGAUCUCCCAAGAGAAGAACACAAGCCUUCUCAAAAGGACAUCCAGUGAAGAGUCUCAUACCUCCUAUCAGAUAGACCAGAAUUCCCCAUGCUACAAGGAGACAAAGCAGCUUGUCAGCACCAUCAGUCAGCACGGUGUGUCUGAGAAAGAGGUCGGUAUCCGGAACUAUCCAAAUCAUACUUACCUGGCAGGGGAGACACCAUGAUCAAGGGGAGCCUGCGCCUUUCCUGUCCCCGCGGCCGAAGGCUCGGCUUUCAGAGUUCAAUCAGUCGGAUGUGUGGAAAUACUAUGGAUUCCAACGCAGAUGCAACUUCAGAAACUACCGGAGGAAGGUGUCUGCCCCGCGGUCCGACCGGGUCCAACACCUCCAGAUUUGAACUGCCGUGUCCUUGACAAGCAUUUAGCUCUGUUCACCGAACUCCAGCUUGUCAGCACCAUCAGUCAGCACGGUGUGUCUGAGAAAGAGGUCGGUAUCCGGAACUAUCCAAAUCAUACUUACCUGGCAGGGGAGACACCAUGAUCAAGUAGGUGGUUCACCCAUUGCGAGGCUCGGCCAUUGCACUCUCGGCCGUGCUGACCAGUGUGAAUUCCCCAAAUGUGGGAAUCUCAACUGCAUAAUUUAUGGUAGUGGGGGACUGCGUUCGCGCU